rnacentral:rRNA from 1 species
UUUUUUAAUUGAAAACUUGUAUGAAAGGUUGAAUGAAAUAUAUACUGUUUUUUAUUAAUAAUUAAAAUUUUAUUUUUUAGUUAAAAAGCUAAAAUAAAAUUAAAAGACGAGAAGACCCUAUAAAGUUUUAUAUUUUUAAUUAAUGAUUUUAUUUAAGUAUUUUAAAAAAUAUUAAUUAAAAGUAUUUUAUUGGGGUGAUAAUAAAAUUUAUAUAACUUUUAUUUUUAUUUACAUAGAUAAAUGAGUUUAUGAUCCAGUAGUAUUGAUUAAUAAUUUAAAUUACUUUAGGGAUAACAGCGUA